GAUGAACGCUGGCGGCGUGCCUAAUACAUGCAAGUCGAGCGAACAGAUGAGGAGCUUGCUCCUCUGACGUUAGCGGCGGACGGGUGAGUAACACGUGGAUAACCUCCCUAUCAGACUGGGAUAACUUCGGGAAACCGGAGCUACUACCGGAUAAUAUAUUGAACCGCAUGGUUCAAUAGUGAAAGACGGUUUUGCUUUCACUUAUAGAUGGAUCCGCGCCGCAUUAGCUAGUUGGUAAGGUAACGGCUUACCAAGGCAACGAUGCGUAGCCGACCUGAGAGGGGGAUCGGCCACACUGGAACUGAGACACGGUCCAGACUCCUACGGGAGGCAGCAGUAGGGAAUCUUCCGCAAUGGGCGAAAGCCUGACGGAGCAACGCCGCGUGAGUGAUGAAGGUCUUCGGAUCGUAAAACUCUGUUAUUAGGGAAGAACAAAUGUGUAAGUAACUAUGCACGUCUUGACGGUACCUAAUCAGAAAGCCACGGCUAACUACGUG
rnacentral:rRNA from 1 species